AGAGUUUGAUCAUGGCUCAGAUUGAACGCUGGCGGCAGGCCUAACACAUGCAAGUCGAGCGGUAGCACAGAGAGCUUGCUCUCGGGUGACGAGCGGCGGACGGGUGAGUAAUGUCUGGGAAACUGCCUGAUGGAGGGGGAUAACUACUGGAAACGGUAGCUAAUACCGCAUAACGUCGCAAGACCAAAGUGGGGGACCUUCGGGCCUCAUGCCAUCAGAUGUGCCCAGAUGGGAUUAGCUAGUAGGUGGGGUAACGGCUCACCUAGGCGACGAUCCCUAGCUGGUCUGAGAGGAUGACCAGCCACACUGGAACUGAGACACGGUCCAGACUCCUACGGGAGGCAGCAGUGGGGAAUAUUGCACAAUGGGCGCAAGCCUGAUGCAGCCAUGCCGCGUGUGUGAAGAAGGCCUUCGGGUUGUAAAGCACUUUCAGCGGGGAGGAAGGCGUUAAGGUUAAUAACCUCAUCGAUUGACGUUACCCGCAGAAGAAGCACCGGCUAACUCCGUGCCAGCAGCCGCGGUAAUACGGAGGGUGCAAGCGUUAAUCGGAAUUACUGGGCGUAAAGCGCACGCAGGCGGUCUGUCAAGUCGGAUGUGAAAUCCCCGGGCUCAACCUGGGAACUGCAUUCGAAACUGGCAGGCUAGAGUCUUGUAGAGGGGGGUAGAAUUCCAGGUGUAGCGGUGAAAUGCGUAGAGAUCUGGAGGAAUACCGGUGGCGAAGGCGGCCCCCUGGACAAAGACUGACGCUCAGGUGCGAAAGCGUGGGGAGCAAACAGGAUUAGAUACCCUGGUAGUCCACGCCGUAAACGAUGUCGAUUUGGAGGUUGUGCCCUUGAGGCGUGGCUUCCGGAGCUAACGCGUUAAAUCGACCGCCUGGGGAGUACGGCCGCAAGGUUAAAACUCAAAUGAAUUGACGGGGGCCCGCACAAGCGGUGGAGCAUGUGGUUUAAUUCGAUGCAACGCGAAGAACCUUACCUGGUCUUGACAUCCACAGAACUU
rnacentral:rRNA from 1 species